rnacentral:rRNA from 1 species
AACGAACGCUGGCGGCAUGCCUAAUACAUGCAAGUCGAACGAGAUCUUCGGAUCUAGUGGCGCACGGGUGCGUAACGCGUGGGAAUCUGCCCUUGGGUUCGGAAUAACUUCUGGAAACGGAAGCUAAUACCGGAUGAUGACGUAAGUCCAAAGAUUUAUCGCCCAAGGAUGAGCCCGCGUAGGAUUAGGUAGUUGGUGAGGUAAAGGCUCACCAAGCCGACGAUCCUUAGCUGGUCUGAGAGGAUGAUCAGCUACACUGGGACUGAGACACGGCCCAGACUCCUACGGGAGGCAGCAGUAGGGAAUAUUGGACAAUGGGCGAAAGCCUGAUCCAGCAAUGCCGCGUGAGUGAUGAAGGCCUUAGGGUUGUAAAGCUCUUUUACCCGGGAUGAUAAUGACAGUACCGGGAGAAUAAGCUCCGGCUAACUCCGUG